rnacentral:rRNA from 1 species
AGUGAACGCUGGCGGUAGGCCUAACACAUGCAAGUCGAACGGCAGCACAGUAAGAGCUUGCUCUUACGGGUGGCGAGUGGCGGACGGGUGAGGAAUACAUCGGAAUCUACUUUUUCGUGGGGGAUAACGUAGGGAAACUUACGCUAAUACCGCAUACGACCUACGGGUGAAAGCAGGGGAUCUUCGGUCCUUGCGCGAUUGAAUGAGCCGAUGUCGGAUUAGCUAGUUGGCGGGGUAAAGGCCCACCAAGGCGACGAUCCGUAGCUGGUCUGAGAGGAUGAUCCGCCAAAAUUGAACCGAGGACAGGUCCAAGCCCCUACGGGAGGGAGCCGUGGGGAAAUAUGGACCAUGGGGGGAAGCCUGAUCCAGCCCAUCCGCGUGGGGGAAGGAGGGCUUUGGGGUGGAAAGGCCCUUUGUUGGGGAAGAAAAGCAGCAGGUUAAUACCCCGCUGUUCUGACGGUACCCAAAGAAUAAGCACCGGCUAACUUCGUG